UUUCCUAUGUCUCUGAGUCCGUUUCUGUUUUGGAUAUACAUAUGUUUUCUUUUUUUUAAUUCCACAUACAACUGAUAUUAUCAUGUAGUAUUUGUCUUUCUCUUUUUCUUUGACUAAUUUCACUAAGCAUGAUGCUCUCUCGGUCCAUCCACAUUUCUGGGGCAUUUUAAGUACUGACUCCUGGGUCCCACCUCCAGCCAUUCUGCCAUGAGAUGAAGCCAGGCACCGCAGUUUUCGAAGCUCCCUCGGGGGAUUUGAAUACGCAGCAAAACACAUUUCACCUGGUGGCCUCUCCGCAGGAGGCUGGCAUCACACUGGCUGGUGAUGCUUUCUGGGCUUUGUCGGAUUUUCAUUCCUCAGGAAACAGAACCAGGAGUGACCAGCGAGGCCCAGCCCAGUGGCAGAGCUGAGAUCUCUGUGACCGGCAGAGGGUCCCUGGCUGAGAGAGGGUACCGGUUGCCUUCUGCCUGCCUGCCCCAGGCAAGGUGAGUGCUGGCUGGACACAGGCGUCCUGGGGCUGUGUGUUUGUGGCCACCAUCCCUCCAGCAGCGAUUGCAGAAACUCAGGAGAAGGGCAUGAGUACCACACGCAACUGAUGCUGGAGACUUGGGUCUCCAAACGGGUCACGGUUUGAAUACUGGGGGGUCCCAGGUGAGUCCCCUACUCUUUCCACUCGUUCAUUUUUUCAUACACAUUUUUGGCCAUUUACCAAGCACUCUGCUGGGCCCAGCGAAAACAGGUGAAUUGGUGUAAGUGAUCGCCAGGCAGGAAGGGCAGGGAAGGAGAAAAUUCAGGCAGAGGCCAGGGACUGUAAGUGGUCAGAUAAGGACGGCUCGAGGGAGGGAAAGGCAGGGGCCCAAUCAAGCCUCGGGCACCAUGCUGAGGAGCUCAGGCUUUAUCCUGGAUGAGCUCUCCCCUGAGGGGGAUCCAUAGCCCGUGCUAGCAGUGGGCUAGCAGACCACCCGGCACUCUGAAUCCUGGGACCGCCCCACCCCACCCCAUGCACUGCUGGUCACUGGGAGCACUCAAGACAGGAAGAACUCACCACUCAGAGACAGCUGAGCGGCCCACAUGACUCCCCAAGGAAGAAUUUGUUCUCUGAGGUCAUGGCCAAUGCAGAGUCCCUUUGGGGUCACAGAGGGAAACUUAUCACCCAAUAGACCCAUCUUACCCAUAACUCAGGACUCCUCCCAGCUGGCGGGUCCGGGAUGUGAGCUGUUAUGCACGUGGGAAGAACUGCAGAGGCAGAGUCUAGCACUUGCAUAUGCAAGUCCUGUUGAUUCUUCCCCUAAGCACCCGCCAGUGGCCCUCUGCUUUCCACCAGCACCAUCCUGGCCUCAAUUCAGACCCUCUGACCUGGACCCUUGUGAGGAUGAACUGGCCUCCAGGCCACCUUCUCUGCUUUGACCUCAGACUGCUCCAAUUCUCCCUUAAACUUUAAAACCUCCGUUGGUUCCCUGCCAUGGUGUAGGCACAUGAGAACCUGCCUGGCUAGACCCCUGCAGCUUUUUCCAUGCCUGCCUCCUUCCCAGACACAUCCCCUACACGCCCGUAAGAUCUGGCCACCUUCUCUCCUGCUCUUUUCCAUCUCUGCUCACCCUGGUCCCCCUGCCUGGAAUGUCCUUCCUACUUGUCUAUUUAGUAAAGACCUACUCCAGUGCCACCUCCUGGGCACCAUGCCUUCUUUCCACCUCAUCAGGCACACUCAUCCAUUCAACAAGUAUUUCCUGAACACCUACUUGCUGGAAAUCAGAACAGUGUGUAGGACGGUUGAGGAGCUGCCCUGGGGGAGCUCCCACUGGCCUGGGUGAGACUAUGAGAGAGACACCCGCGUGCACUGUAAUUUCAGAGUCUCCAAGGUGCAGGGCUGGUCUCAGUGACCUCACUGAGGACGUGCCACAUAGGUGGCAACGUGAAAGAAACCCUCCCUCUGCGUUUCUGAGCACUUUGCCUUCUUUAUGGAGUCUCCUAUCUGCUGCCUGACUUAGAGAUCAGAAUAUUGUGUGAAACACACGCUAAAAAAUUGUGCUUUGUUUCUCUGAAAUCCCAGUUUAGCUGGCUGUCCUGUGUUGAAUCAGACAGGCCUACUCCUAAGGUCUCCCUGCCCCGUGAGAUCUGGGAACGUGAACUCUCGUACCUUCAGGGCCCAGCACUGUGGCUGGUUGUAUUAAUAGUAGACACUCAACAGUGAAGGAUCCAGCAGCAGCACUCACGACCCUCGAUGGCCUAUUUUACUUGCACAGAGUCUCCUGGACUCAGUAACCUCCUCCGCAGUGGGGGCGACGCUGGAUACUGUCCUCUGUGCCUAGUGCAGGGCCUGGCUAGACACAGCCCAGGGGACCUGGGGACCUUUAGCUGCCCUCCUACCGUCUCCACCCAUGGCUCCUUCCC
ensembl:lncRNA